rnacentral:rRNA from 1 species
UACGUAGGGGGCAAGCGUUGUCCGGAAUCAUUGGGCGUAAAGAGCGUGUAGGCGGCCCGGUAAGUCCGCUGUGAAAGUCCAGGGCUCAACCCUGGGAUGCCGGUGGAUACUGUCGGGCUCGAGUCCGGAAGAGGAGUGUGGAAUUCCUGGUGUAGCGGUGAAAUGCGCAGAUAUCAGGAGGAACACCAAUGGCGAAGGCAG